rnacentral:lncRNA from 1 species
UUCUCUCCGGUUUCUCUUACUGUCUGAUUUGAAUUUCUUUUUUCAUGCCAUUUUAAGCUUAGUCUUUCUCUCUGCAACACAAACCUUUAUUCCAGGUUAAAGGAAUGCCAGGCCUGGGUGAGCACAAGCCAGAAACAUUUCAGGAUGCAGGGAGCCUUCUCAGCAAACCUGCCCUUGGUCCUACCUUGAACGCCAGUCAAACCAGCACAGUCUGAACCCUGGUCCCAGAAGCACCAGCAGCAGUCUUGUGAGACCCUGUAUUCCCACUCUAGGCCCAGGUGUGACAAUCACAGCUCCCAAACUGUUUCCUAACUGUGCCUGUAACCAAGCCCAAGUUGCAGAGAACUGCAGUUAAACCUGGUAAAGCUCAAAAACCACUCUUUAUCGUGCUUCGUGCGGACGGUUCUGUUUCAGUUUUAGUUCGCUUUAUACUCCACGUUCCUCUCCAAGUCCUCUCACCUCCUCCUCGGAAGAAAAUAUUAGUCUCGCUAUUUUCACACUUCCAGGGCCCGGG